GAUGAACGCUGGCGGCGUGCCUAAUACAUGCAAGUCGAGCGAACAGACGAGGAGCUUGCUCCUCUGACGUUAGCGGCGGACGGGUGAGUAACACGUGGAUAACCUACCUAUAAGACUGGGAUAACUUCGGGAAACCGGAGCUAAUACCGGAUAAUAUAUUGAACCGCAUGGUUCAAUAGUGAAAGACGGUUUUGCUGUCACUUAUAGAUGGAUCCGCGCCGCAUUAGCUAGUUGGUAAGGUAACGGCUUACCAAGGCAACGAUGCGUAGCCGACCUGAGAGGGUGGUCGGCCACCCUGGAACUGAGACACGGUCCAGACUCCUACGGGAGGCAGCAGUAGGGAAUCUUCCGCAAUGGGCGAAAGCUUGACGGAGCAACGCCGCGUGAGUGAUGAAGGUCUUCGGAUCGUAAAAAUCUGUUAUUAGGGAAGAACAAAUGUGUAAGUAACUAUGCACGGCUUGACGGUACCUAAUCAGAAAGCCACGGCUAACUACGUG
rnacentral:rRNA from 1 species